rnacentral:lncRNA from 1 species
GAGAUGUUGGGGACGACUCUGUGAUGGAGGAGCUCGGCUGCUGUUGUGGUGCUUGGUGGAGGACGGCGUUGAUGGUCUGCGGGGAGGAGAUGAAGAAGACAGCGGGGGUUGCUGCUGGAGGCCGGUCUGCGCCGAUGAGGGAAGCUCUGUUGCGUCUGUGUUGAUGAGGGAGACCGUGGCUUGUGGCCGGUUGAAGAGGGAAGAUCUGUCGGCUGUGGGCUGGAAGGCGGUGCCCUCGGUGGCUGAGAGAAGACCUGGUGCGUGGCUGGUUUGUUGUGGUCUGAAGAGAUGAUGGGGAACAAUGGAGGUCGGUCUGAGAGGGACAAUGAGAUGGGGACGGCAACCUUCUUUGUUGGCUGGCUUUUUUUGUUUCGGCUGGGGAACAGAAAGGUGAGGGGGAAGCGGUGAAGAUCUGUGGUUUGGGGGAACGGAGUGGCUGCUCCGGUAUAAAAAAAUCAAAGGCAAAGGUGGGGGCUCGACUUGUCUUGGCUUCAGGAGAAGAAGACUCGGGGAGAAAAAUUCAAACCAGCCGGGGGGGGGGGCGGCUGUUUGCAAAGAGAUAGGGUUAGGUUUAGGGUUUGUUUUUU